rnacentral:rRNA from 1 species
GCGAGAGGUGAAAUUCGUGGACCGUAGCGAGACGUCCGACAGCGAAGGCAUUUGCCAAGAGUGUUUUCAUUAAUCAAGAACGAAAGUCAGAGGUUCGAAGGCGAUUAGAUACCGCCCUAGUUCUGACCGUAAACGAUGCCAACUGUCGAUCCGCUUGUGGAUUCUAUUCAUGAGCGGGGAGAUUCCCGGAAACGAAAGUUUUUCGGUUUCGGGGGAAGUAUGGUUGCAAAGCUGAAACUUAAAGGAAUUGACGGAAGGGCACCACCAGGAGUGGAGCUUGCGGCUUAAUUUGACUCAACACGGGAAAUCUCACCCGGCCAGUACAUCGUGAGGAUUGACAGACUGAAAGCUCUUUCAUGAUUCGGUGAAUGGUGGUGCAUGGCCGUUCUUAGUUCGUGGAUUGAUUUGUCUGGUUUAUUCCGAUAACGAGCGAGACUUUGACUAUUAAAUAGUGCACUUGUUGCUUUGCGAGUGAUCACUUCUUAAAGGAAUUUGUGGUUUCCAACCUCAAGAAAUUGAGCAAUAACAGGUCUGUGAUGCCCUUAGAUGUUCGGGGCCGCACGCGUGCUACAAUGGUGGUAACAGCGUGAUUGUCCUUUUCCGACAGGAAUUGGCAAACAGUUGAGAUAUUAUUAUGGCUGGAAUUGAGUGUUGAAAUUUUCUCUCAUGAACGAGGAAUUCCAAGUAAAUGUGAGUCAUUAACUUGCAUUGAUUACGUCCCUGCCCUUUGUACACACCGCCCGUCGCUGCCCGGGACUGAGUUACUUCGAGAAAACUAGGGAUCGUUGAAGUUCGAUGUUUCGGCAUUGUCUUUGAUGCGAACUAGUUUAAUCGCAGUGGCUUGAACCGGGCAAAAGUC